rnacentral:lncRNA from 1 species
CAAAAGAAAAAGAAAAAAAUUCAGACUUUUUCCCUGAUAUGAAGGCAGAACCAAAAAAUUUCACAUUGAUUUUACAGAUUUGGGGAGUUCCGUGCCCUAAUCCCCAUGAUGUGCAAGGGAUACCUAUACUAUCUUAUUUGAUCCUCAUGACAACAUGGGAGGUACAAGUUGGACCAUAGGAUGUGCAAGAUCCCUUCUAAACCAAGAUACUGUGGAUCACCCAGUUGGCAGGAUUAC